GUGCGCCAAGAGAAGCGUCUAGAACACAGUUGGUCAACUUAGGCAAAGUCUAGCCAACAGCCUAAAACGGACCAUUAUGCUACGUAAGGUAACAAACGUAGUAAAGCUAAUGGAACGGACAAUACAGGGUGCAACGAAAGUGAAGGUAUUGAGUCCCGAAAUUUCCGACAUCAUAGAGGUCAACAUUUUGCAUUUUAGUGGAAGACAGUAUGAAGGAUAACGAUAAGGCAAGCUAUCACUCACUCUAUCGGGAUCUAAGGCCGUAUCAUGUAUUGAGAUGGGUUCUAAAUGAACUUGGGGAUCCUUUGUAUUCCUAUUGAGGUACAAAGAGGGAAGUCCCCGGACUGGUUGAUAGUACUCAGAGUGUGGGAAAGCCGAAUACAAGGGGAAGCGGUCAGCAAUAUAGUAACUGGUAUAGUGA
rnacentral:autocatalytically_spliced_intron from 1 species